rnacentral:rRNA from 1 species
GACGAACGCUGGCGGCGUGCUUAACACAUGCAAGUCGAACGGAAAGGCCCUGCUUUUGUGGGGUGCUCGAGUGGCGAACGGGUGAGUAACACGUGAGUAACCUGCCCUUGACUUUGGGAUAACUUCAGGAAACUGGGGCUAAUACCGGAUAGGAGCUCCUGCUGCAUGGUGGGGGUUGGAAAGUUUCGGCGGUUGGGGAUGGACUCGCGGCUUAUCAGCUUGUUGGUGGGGUAGUGGCUUACCAAGGCUUUGACGGGUAGCCGGCCUGAGAGGGUGACCGGCCACAUUGGGACUGAGAUACGGCCCAGACUCCUACGGGAGGCAGCAGUGGGGAAUAUUGCACAAUGGGCGGAAGCCUGAUGCAGCAACGCCGCGUGCGGGAUGACGGCCUUCGGGUUGUAAACCGCUUUCGCCUGUGACGAAGCGUGAGUGACGGUAAUGGGUAAAGAAGCACCGGCUAACUACGUGCCAGCAGCCGCGGUGAUACGUAGGGUGCGAGCGUUGUCCGGAUUUAUUGGGCGUAAAGGGCUCGUAGGUGGUUGAUCGCGUCGGAAGUGUAAUCUUGGGGCUUAACCCUGAGCGUGCUUUCGAUACGGGUUGACUUGAGGAAGGUAGGGGAGAAUGGAAUUCCUGGUGGAGCGGUGGAAUGCGCAGAUAUCAGGAGGAACACCAGUGGCGAAGGCGGUUCUCUGGGCCUUUCCUGACGCUGAGGAGCGAAAGCGUGGGGAGCGAACAGGCUUAGAUACCCUGGUAGUCCACGCUGUAAACGGUGGGUACUAGGCGUGGGGUCCAUUCCACGGGUUCCGUGCCGUAGCUAACGCCUUAAGUACCCCGCCUGGGGAGUACGGCCGCAAGGCUAAAACUCAAAGGAAUUGACGGGGCCCCGCACAAGCGGCGGAGCAUGCGGAUUAAUUCGAUGCAACGCGUAGAACCUUACCUGGGUUUGACAUGGAUCGGGAGUGCUCAGAGAUGGGUGUGCCUCUUUUGGGGUCGGUUCACAGGUGGUGCAUGCCUGUCGUCAGCUCGUGUCGUGAGAUGUUGGGUUAAGUCCCGCAACGAGCGCAACCCUUGUUCACUGUUGCCAGCACGUUAUGGUGGGGACUCAGUGGAGACCGCCGGGGUCAACUCGGAGGAAGGUGGGGAUGACGUCAAGUCAUCAUGCCCCUUAUGUCCAGGGCUUCACGCAUGCUACAAUGGCUGGUACAGAGAGUGGCGAGCCUGUGAGGGUGAGCGAAUCUCGGAAAGCCGGUCUCAGUUCGGAUUGGGGUCUGCAACUCGACCUCAUGAAGUCGGAGUCGCUAGUAAUCGCAGAUCAGCAACGCUGCGGUGAAUACGUUCCCGGG